AUUUCAACAAUCUCGACCGAGAAUCUACCGGAUUUGCGGGCAACUAUAAUGGGUUUUCCAACCAACGGAGCGGGCAGCGUUCGAGGUCACCUGUUUGGUUUAGGUACAAUUAUAAUUCAACUCCUACUUACAUCGGUCACCCUAGUUCAGCAC